CAAACUCCUGACACGAUUAAGAAGAGGUUUUGGAACUGGGCCAGACUAGGAAAACAGGAAAGAUGACGAACAAAGCUUCCCUCCUUCUGAGGGUUGUUUAUUCCAGUGUUCCUUCAGUUGAGUUUUCUGGGUACACAGCAGCCCUUGGCUUUCCAUCCCAUGUGCAGCCUCUGGCCCAGCACUUAGUCCACUCUCAGUCAUAGAGCUUAUCACACAGACUUGCUCCAGUGCCCACUUGUCCAACUGCCCCAAACUCCUGGAAACCAGAAAGAACACAGAUGUAUCUCAACUGAGUGCCUACCAUAUUUCUACAGGAGGAACUGUCUUCGCAUAAAAGCCCCUCUGCAGCUCCUUAAGAGUCUGAACAUCCAUAUUCGAGAGCAUGUUCUUGCCUACAUGUGAAUGGCAAGGCUGGAACGGAAGGCGGCAGACGUGUCCAGGGCAGCACUGAUGGCCGGACUGACCCCACCUCCCCCCAUCGUCCAUACUUAGAGCCAGCGGCCACUGCAAGUGCUCAAAGUUCUGACAAUAAGCCUGAUUGGCUCAGGUGGGGUCAUGUGACCAGGACAGGUGGGACAUCUUGAAUGACAGUCCCGGAAAUAUUGCACAAAAAGAGGACGAUUUCCCAAG
rnacentral:lncRNA from 1 species